rnacentral:tRNA from 1 species
UCCCUGGUGGCUCAGACAGUAAAGCGUCUGCCUACAAUGCAGGAGACCCAGGUUCAAUUCCUAGGUUGGGAA